UUAUAUUUAAUAAAUAUGUCGUGUUUUCUUCUGUUCUUUGCAGUGUUACAGGUUUUGACGUGUGUGCAUGGAAAUAGUCCGGAUUCUGUGAUUUUCUCCAAUCCACCAGAGCUUCUAAGGACUGGAAAGAGUCUGGAAGGAAACCAGAGAGAAACUCCAGAAGAUCGAGCUUAUUUUUCAUCAGACUUCAAAAAUUGGAACAGCGCUUCAAUGUUUAAUGGAGUAAAACAGCCAACAUAUGAUAAUGUCGCAAGGUAUCCAUCACAAGCAAAUUAUUAUCCAGAGGUUUAUCCAAAUAAACCCUCUUCAAGUUACGGACAUCCUCCUUCUGUUGAAUAUCCAGACCACGACAAGUCAAAGUUUGAUGAUGUCAAACAUGACAAAGACAAAUGCCCUGCCAAAUGUACAGACUGCACUGAUGAAUGUGGCACCUUUAGAUGUUCACCUAACUGUGAUGACUGUUCUCUUGAAUGCGGCACUGACCGGUGUUCCCCUAACUGUGAAGGCUGUGAACCUGGAUGUGGUACUGACCGAUGUCCUAGAGCGUGCAAUGACUGUCCUUCUGAAUGUGGAACGGACAGAUGUCCACCUGCAGACUGUGGGUGCGACGAUGGGUGUGAACCAGUAUUCAAAGCUGGGAGAUUUAAUAAUAUAAUCAAUCCAGAAGACGAUGUAUGCUGUUCCUCUCAAGCUGCACGCAUGGCCCUUGUAGCUAAAUUUGAUGAAUACUGUAGCAACACAUGCGCUGGAGUUCCUCUUGAUACUUGCUAUACGUUCAAUUCCGCUUUCUCGUCCCUUUGUUCCUGCAAUGGCAAUUUUCCCGGUCCUGAUCUCCCAGAUACUGACUGUGUUGAAGCCACUGGAGACGUGGGAAAAGUAAAGGAUGCCAUCACAGAUGAUGAAAAACUGGGAGAUUUUCUUACAGAGGCUGAGGAGCAAACAUUGGAAGAUAUUUGUACUUGCUUAGCUGACAAUUGUAAGCAAAGGCGUGGCUGGAAAAUGUUGUGUAAAUGUGUCAAAAGUGCAGCAACACAAUAAAAUCUUAGAUUCUCCCAGAAAUCAGGUAUUUAAUACGUUAUUUCCUAAUGUUAUUUUUUGAACAGGUGAAAUGUUGAAAAGAGAAGCUGCUAGUUUAAGUAACAAGUAUGCUGUGAUCACCUCUCUAUAUUUCUUAUUUUACGUGUCAAUAAAUAAAUUACUUAUUUAAAUG